ensembl:antisense 2900089D17Rik RIKEN cDNA 2900089D17 gene
GAAGACCGCAUACAGCUUCAGAAAUCUACCCUGUCAGAGGAUAAAAGUUACCUGGGUUUACAGAAGUCUUCUCCUAGGCGUGCCUAGGUUACAGCCUGCAAUCACUUGUGUGUGCCACCAUGCCUGGUUUUUUAACAUGUGAUCUAGAUAUAAAACUCAGAUCAUCAUGCCUGCAUGCUAGGUCCUUUACUGAUGAACCUAGGCAUGAAAAACCACCAGGAGAGGGGCUGGAGAGAUGGCUCAACAGUACCCAGAUAUUCUGCCAAGGUCCUGAGUUCUAUUCCUAGCAACCAAAUGGUGGCUUACAACCGUCUAUAAUGGGAUCUAAUGCCCUGUUCUGGCAUGCACCCUAUUAUACACACAGAACUCAUACAUUUAUAAAAGAAAAAAAAAAGCAGUAAAGCACUACCUAGAAUCCUCCAGUGAGGGGCUGGGUUGUGGCUCAGUGGUAGAGCCCCUGACUAGAAUCCUCCAGUGAGGGGCUGGGUUGUGGCUCAGUGGUAGAGCCCCUGCCCAGAGUCCCCCAGUGAGGAGCUGGGGUGCAGACAGCAGUAGGAUGCUUGCUCAGCAUGUUAGUUCCUGGGUUUGAUCCAGAGUGCUGCAAGAGGCUCCUCCUUUCUGGUUAAUUUACAAUGGCGGCAGGGAACCAAGUAGAACCUGAAGACACACUAGUGACCAAUUACUGAUAACUAAGUUUAGUGACAAACAUGGAUUCUCUGUUUGGGGGAAGCAGACAAGGGGCCAGUCUCAAUGAGAGAAAUAAAUCAUGACUUUGGGUCCAUAAGCAGGUCUAGGGCCCAACCUGGAAAUUAUUUUUAGAGGACUCUUCAUGUGUGGGGUGGCUAACGAUCCUGAAGGCCUUCGCUCAGCCACUCAGCCAUUUUUUUUUAUUGCCAAAGCCACCCAAAACUAGUCCUCCUCAGAGUCAGGAUUUGAGACAGUGCUGUCAUAGGACCUUGGCUAUGUGGAACAGGUGAGCUUAGGGAGGGGGCUUUGACCUGGGAGGAUGCUGUGGGCUGGAGAGCUGGCUCAGCAGGAAAGAGCUCUUAACUCUACAAGCAUGAAGACCUGAGUUCAAAUCCCCAGAUUCCCACAUUAAGUCAGACAUGUUCCUGCACUUGCUUCUAGUCACAGUCCUGUGAAGAGCGGAGACAGGAGGAUUAUUGUGGUGGUUUGAAUAAGGUAUCCUCAUAGCCUUGGGCGUUUAGAUACUUGGUCUCCAGCUGGUGGCACUGUCUGGGAGGUGUGGCCUUGCUGAAGGAACUACAUCCCUGUGGGCAGGCUAUAGAGGUUUCCAAGACUCAAUUUCCCAGUUCACUGAGUCUACCUCUUUCUUGGGCUUUGAGAUGUGAGCUCUCGCUGUUCCUGCUGCCCUGGCUACUGCCUGUUGCCAUGAUUCCUGUCAUCAUAGAGUCUUAUCCCUCUGGAACCAUAAGCCCAAAUAAACCCUCCUCUGUAGGCUGCUUUGGUUGAAAUGUCUUAUCACAGCAAUAGAAAGUAACCAAUCAGAUCACCACGGCCUACUGGCCGAUAGCCUGGCCCCAGAGAAUGAUGGAAUGGGUCACCCAAAGUCCCCUUGCCUCUGUGGAUGACAGACACAUGUGCAUAUACUACACACACACACUCACACACACACACACAAGGGGGUGUCAUGAUAAAGGUUCAGAGAAGCCACCCAGGGCCCCACUGCUCUGCUACAAAAAGACAACAAACAAACAAACAAAGAAUCCAACUGCUUUUCCUGUCUCUUCUCAGGCCUUCUGAGGCUCAUCCCAGGGCCUCUUACCUGCUUCCUGUACUGUGGAGGCCAUGGCUAGUCCCCGUAAGACGCCCAGAAGUGGCCAGAGAGAGCCUGAGGUUGGGCCAGGAAGAGCCCCUUUAUGGUCCAGCAGCAGCAGACAGGCAGUAGCCGACAUGAAGCAGUGACCCAAAAGGCCAUUGAGGAAGAGUCAUAUCACUGAGAAUGCGGGAUCCCAGCCCACAGGAUGUUGUCACCUGCAUCCCACCUUGGUCUUCCUCUUUAACCUUUCUGGAAAUACCCUCCUAGUAGCAGCCAAAGGAGUGUUUCCAUGGAGAUUCUAAUCCCAUCUAAUUGAGCAUCAAAGGACCAGUGAGAUGGCUCAGUGUACCCACUUGCUACCAAGCCUGAUGACCUGGGUUCAAUCGCUGGGACCCAGUGGUGGAAAGAGACUACCAACUGCGGAAGCUGUCCUGUGGUGUCUCCCCCGACCCCCACAUGCAAAUUCUUAAUUAAUAUAAUUUUAUUUAUGUAUUAUCUAUUUAUGAAUUAAUUUUCUUUAUUUAUGUUUUAUAGAUAAACUAUUUAUAAAUUAAUUAUAAACUAAUUAUUUAUAAACUAGUUAUAAAUUU